CAAGGAUUCCCUUAGUAACGG
rnacentral:snRNA from 1 species